rnacentral:lncRNA from 1 species
CCCUCUCAUUAACUCAGUUCGUUAGUUCCCGGGGCUCUUCCCGCCCCUUUCUGAUCAGCACCUGCUCCCUUCAUAAGGCAGUGAGAAGUGGGGACAGCGCAGGGCCUCUCUCAAGGUCCCCACGGUCGUGCCCAGCUGAGCCUCCCCCUCUCUGGCUCAAGGACGAUGAAGCUCUGGGGUGUCCUGGUGCUGGCAGGGCUGGCCGGCAGCCUGGUCGCUGGGUCACCUGUGACUGACCCUGCCUCCUCCACCAGCUCCUUUUCCCAGCUGAUGUCUUCUGCCAGCUCUGGUAAGUGUCCCUGCUUGGAGAGCCUGGUGGUGGAUCUCCAUGUUGUGCUACCUGGCAGCAUCCCAGCCUUUGCAUCCACAGCUCCCUUGUGUGGCCCAGAGGCAAAGGGACCCCCCUGAUGGUCUUUCCUCUCCUGUUCCAGCCUUCUCUACUCUUGACCUGAUGCCUCCCACCAGUUUGGCCACUGCCGGUGCCUUGGUGACCUCCUCUGCUCCCUUGGACGACUCGUCUUCCCCCGGGCCAGGCUCUGAUGGUGACACAGAUGACAAUACGGAUGGAGAUGGCAGGGGAUUGCUUGCUGCAUUUUCCCGAUUCAUUGCAAAAGCCAUUCGUUUUGUGUGUGACAAGUACCAAAAGGUGUUUGGGCUGCUGUUUGGUUGAAAGACAAUGAAUGUGGGAGUGGGCAGGGGAAUGGAAGGAGUCUUCCAUCCCUGCAGCAACAUCCACCGCUCACCGAUGCUGAGUCCCGGAUGGUGAUCUUGAUGCCGGCUCCUCUCACAGGGGCUUUGACCCUACCCAGCAGAGCUGACUCCACUGACAUCCGCCCAACCGCAGCAUCUGACCAAUGUCAAAUUCGAAAUAAAGUCCAAACCAUAGAGCUGAG